rnacentral:rRNA from 1 species
GAUGAACGCUGGCGGCGUGCCUAAUACAUGCAAGUCGAGCGAACAGACGAGGAGCUUGCUCCUCUGACGUUAGCGGCGGACGGGUGAGUAACACGUGGAUAACCUACCUAUAAGACUGGGAUAACUUCGGGAAACCGGAGCUAAUACCGGAUAAUAUAUUGAACCGCAUGGUUCAAUAGUGAAAGACGGUUUUGCUGUCACUUAUAGAUGGAUCCGCGCCGCAUUAGCUAGUUGGUAAGGUAACGGCUUACCAAGGCAACGAUGCGUAGCCGACCUGAGAGCGGGAACGCGCAACCUGGCCCAGGUAAUCGUUCUAGGUUCCGAAGGCAGGCAUCAGCAGGGAAUGUUAGGCAAGGCUCGAACGCCUGACGGAGCAACGCCGCCUGAGUCACCAAGCUCUUCGGAUCGUAAAACACUGUUAUCAGGGAAGAAAAAAAAGGCAAGUAAGUAUGCCGGUCUGGACGAUGCGUCCUCAGAAGGCCACGCCACACUACGGC